rnacentral:rRNA from 1 species
CUACGGGUCGCAGCAGUGAGGAAUAUUGCACAAUGGAGGAAACUCUGAUGCAGCAACGCCGCGUGGAGGAUGACGCAUUUCGGUGUGUAAACUCCUUUUAUAUGUCAAGAAAAUGACGGUAGCAUAUGAAUAAGCUCCGGCUAACUCCGUGCCAGCAGCCGCGGUAAUACGGAGGGAGCAAGCGUUACUCGGAAUCACUGGGCGUAAAGGACGCGUAGGCGGGAUAGAAAGUCAGGUGUGAAAUCCUAUGGCUCAACCAUAGAACUGCACUUGAAACUUCUAACCUAGAGUAUGGGAGGGGAAGAUGGAAUUAGUGGUGUAGGGGUAAAAUCCGUAGAUAUCACUAGGAAUACCAAAAGCGAAGGCGAUCUUCUGGAACAAUACUGACGCUAAGGCGUGAAAGCGUGGGGAGCAAACAGGGUUAGAUACCCGGGUAGUC